GGGCUCGUUUCGUCACAUAUACUAAAAUUGGAAUGACAGAGAAAAUUAGCACAGCCACUGUGCAAGGAUGACACACAAAUUUGUAAAGCAUUCCAUAUUUUU
ensembl:snRNA U6 U6 spliceosomal RNA